rnacentral:rRNA from 1 species
AACAAAUUAAUAAGUGCAAAUGGCGGAUGCCUAGGCACCAGAAGCCGAUGAAGGUCGUAGGAGGCUGCGAAAAGCCUCGGGGAGCCGCCAACCAGGCUUCGAUCCGAGGAUUACCGAAUGGGGAAACCCGGCUGGAGUAAUGUCCAGUCAUUUCUCUCUGAAUAAAUAGGAGAGUCAAAGGUAACGAGGGGAAGUGAAACAUCUCAGUACCCUCAGGAAGAGAAAACAACCGUGAUUCCGUUAGUAGUGGCGAGCGAAAGCGGAAGAGGCUAAACCAAUCAUGUGCCAAGCCGGCAGGCGUUGCAUGAUCGGUGUCGUGGGACUAAAUCGAAUCAACUGCCGUUAAUUCAACAAGUCAGAAAAUAAUGAAAUAGAUGAAGGACGUGGGAAAGUCCGGCAUAGAAGGUGAGACCCCUGUAGUCGAAAUUUCAUUAUCUUGUUUUUAGUAUCCCAAGUAAUACCGGACUCGUGUAAUCCGGUAUGAAUCUGGCGGGACCACCCGCUAAGCCUAAAUACUCUCUGGUGACCGAUAGUGAACAAGUACCGUGAGGGAAAGGUGAAAAGAACCCCGCAAGGGGAGUGAAAUAGAAUCUGAAACCGUUUGCAUACAAACCGUUGGAGCUGCCUUGUGCAGUGACAGCGUGCCUUUUGAAGAAUGAGUCUACGAGUUAGUGUGAUGUAGCAAGGUUAACCCGUCGAGGGGAAGCCGUAGCGAAAGCGAGUCUGAAUAGGGCGAAUAAGUUGCAUCAUCUAAACCCGAAGCGAGGUGAUCUCGCCAUGACCAGGUUGAAGCGCGGGUAAGACCGCGUGGAGGACCGAACCCACUAAAGUUGAAAAUUUAGGGGAUGAGUUGUGGCUAGGGGUGAAAGACCAAUCAAACUUCGUGAUAGCUGGUUCUCUCCGAAAUGCAUUUAGGUGCAGCGUUACGUGUUUCUUACCGGAGGUAGAGCUACUGGAUGGUCGAGGGGCCCUACAAGGUUACCAACAUCAGCCAAACUCCGAAUGCCGGUAAGUGAGAACGUAGCAGUGAGACAGUGGGGGAUAAUCUUCAUUGUCGAGAGGGAAACAACCCAGAGUAGCAACUAAGGUCCCAAAGCGUGUGCUAAGUGGAAAAGGAUGUGAAGUCGCAUAGACAACCAGGAGGUUGGCUUAGAAGCAGCCACCCUUAAAAAAGUGCGUAAUAGCUUACUGGUCAAGUGAUUUCGCGCCGACAAUGUAACGGGGCUCAAGCACACCACCGAAGUUCUAUCAUUCACACACUAUCCCGGUCGUAAGAUCCAGGAGUGUGGAUGGGUAGGAGAGCGUCGUGUAGCUGGCGAAGCGGCGGAGGAAUCCAGCCGUGGAAGCUACACGAGUGAGAAUGUAGACAUGAGUAGCGAGAGUUGGGUGAGAAACCCAACCGCCGAAAGACCAAGGGUUCCUGGGCCAGGCUAAUCCGCCCAGGGUAAGUCGGGACCUAAGACGAGGCCGUCAGGCGUAGUCGAUGGACAACGGGUUGAUAUUCCCGUACCCGCGUAAGUUCGUCCCUGACGAACCUCCUAAUGCUAAGUUUUCGAAGCGUUAUUGGCGUAAGUCGAUGGCGUGGAGGGAACGACCCGGUGGAGUAGUAGUCAAGCAAUGGUGUGACACAGGAAGGUAGUCCAGCCCGGGCGAUGGUUGUCCCGGGGUAAGAGUGUAGGGAGUUAUGUAGGCAAAUCCGCAUAACGUUUAACUGAGACUUGAUGCCGAGCCGAAUGGCGAAGUGGAUGAUCCUAUGCUGUCAAGAAAAGCAUCUAGCGAGAACUUAAGUGGCCCGUACCCGAAACCGACACAGGUGGUCAGGUAGAGAAUACCAAGGCGAUCGAGAGAAUCGUGGAUAAGGAACUCGGCAAAAUACCCCCGUAACUUCGGGAGAAGGGGGGCCAAUUUACGUGUAGGAGUUUUCCUCCGAAGCGUGAGUCGGCCGCAGAGACUAGGCUCAAGCGACUGUUUACCAAAAACACAGGUCCGUGCGAAGUUGCAAAACGAUGUAUACGGACUGA